rnacentral:rRNA from 1 species
AGUGAACGCUGGCGGUAGGCCUAACACAUGCAAGUCGAACGGCAGCACAGUAAGAGCUUGCUCUUACGGGUGGCGAGUGGCGGACGGGUGAGGAAUACAUCGGAAUCUACUUUUUCGUGGGGGAUAACGUAGGGAAACUUACGCUAAUACCGCAUACGACCUACGGGUGAAAGCAGGGGAACUUCGGACCUUGCGCGAUUGAAUGAGCCGAUGUCGGAUUAGCUAGUUGGCGGGGUAAAGGCCCACCAAGGCGACGAUCCGUAGCUGGUCUGAGAGGAUGAUCAGCCACACUGGAACUGAGACACGGUCCAGACUCCUACGGGAGGCAGCAGUGGGGAAUAUUGGACAAUGGGCGCAAGCCUGAUCCAGCCAUACCGCGUGGGUGAAGAAGGCCUUCGGGUUGUAAAGCCCUUUUGUUGGGAAAGAAAAGCAGCAGGUUAAUACCCCGCUGUUCUGACGGUACCCAAAGAAUAAGCACCGGCUAACUUCGU